rnacentral:lncRNA from 1 species
AUGGAGGCGGGGUACCGAGAGGGAGGCAUUUGUGACCGCAGCUGGUUUGGGGGGCUGGCUCUUAAGAUGACCCUUGCUCAGUUGAAAGCAGCCUGGAAGAACGUAGCCUUCGGAAGCAGAUCUUAGAGUUGGAAUCCCUCUUGGAUUUUGAAAAAUGGAGCUUCCUUUUUCCUGUUCACCCAACCAUGUGUCCAGUGGCUCAAGUUUCGUGGAGUGAGACCACAUAUCCUUUGGAAGGCUGAUCAGCACUGCACCAGAAACCACUGCAUAAAAUCUGUCAGGAACUCCUGAAGCCCAUUUCCCAUUCCGAAGCUAUGGAAGUCCUAGAAUAUGAAUGGAAAUAGCCUCUCAAGGCUAUUUCCCAGCUCCUUUGGGCCUACCUUUGAGAGAACCCAUACCAUGGUGCUCUCGAGGGAAGAAGGAGAAAGAAUCCUCUGCUUUGUUUUUCAUUCAGUUGUCACGUUACUUAAAACAAAAAGUUUUAUUUCAGCAUUUAUUUAUUCCUCUAUAUUCUCUUCCGUUUGGGGAAAGAAAAACCUGAACAGAGGGUUAUAGUGAGGGACUCCUGUCGUUCUGACUCUUUGUGUUAAAAAAAAUUGGGGCUUCCAGAAAAGAGCUUUGGAUCUGUUGCCACUUUGUGUGUGUGUGCAGCACUUGGUUCUGCUCCAUGGUUUUCCAGUUCUUGUGUCUUUGANGCAUACCCCCACACACUUGGUUCUGCUCCAUGGUUUUCCAGUUCUUGUGUCUUUGAAUAGUACUGCUCGGUGGCCAUCUCUAUGUCUGCACUCCUGCUAGGGAAACAGGUUUGCUCCUGCUCAUGUUUGCUAAAGGAGACUGAGAUGUCUUGUUAGGCCCUGAAAAACCUGAUGUGGCUCCCGAGAUCCAAAAAGAUUUCUCCAGCUGGAUUCAGAGCCACAAAAAGUGGCUCUGGGGAGUAGGGUGCAGAUGG